GCCUCGGUGGCGGAAUUGGUAGACGCGCAUGAUUCAAAAUCCUGUUCCUUCGGGAGUGUGAGUUCGAGUCUCACCCGAGGCACCA
rnacentral:tRNA from 1 species